UACAGAGGUCUCAAGCGUUGUUCGGAUUCAUUGGGCGUAAAGGGUGCGUAGGCGGCGCGGUAAGUCGGGUGUGAAAUCUUGGACUUAACUCCGAAACUGCAUUCGAUACUGCCGUGCUUGAGGACUGGAGAGGAGACUGGAAUUUACGGUGUAGCGGUGAAAAUGCGUAGAUAUCGUAAGGAAGACCAGUGGCGAAGGCGGGUCUCUGGACAGUUCCUGACGCUGAGGCACGAAGGCCAGGGGGAGCAAACGGG
rnacentral:rRNA from 1 species